rnacentral:tRNA from 1 species
AAGGCUUUAUGUUAAAUAAAACAAAUAACCUUCAAAGUUAUAAAUAAAAGUUUAAAUCUUUUAAGCCUUA